rnacentral:rRNA from 1 species
UGAAUACGAGACGCUAAGGCGUCGAAGUAGUGUAUGUCAUACUUCCAAGAAAAGCUUGCACUGUCAUAGAUAAAAAACGCCUGUACCAUAACCGACACAGGUGGGUAGGUAGAGUAUACUAAGGGGCGCGAGAUAACUCUCUCUAAGGAACUCGGCAAAAUAACUCCGUAACUUCGGGAGAAGGAGUGCCUUAUUCGUAAGGUUGCAAUAACAAGAUCCAAGCAACUGUUUAUCAAAAACACAGGUCUCCGCUAAGUCGUAAGACGAUGUAUGGGGGCUGACGCCUGCCCAGUGCCAGAAGGUUAAAGAAGUUGGUUAGCAAUUGCGAAGCUGAUAACUGAAGCCCUGGUGAACGGCGGCCGUAACAAUAACGGUCCUAAGGUAGCGAAAUUCCUUAUCGGGUAAGUUCCGACCCGCACGAAAGGCGUAAUGAUUUGGAUACUGUCUCGGAGAGGGGCUCGGUGAAAUAGACUUGUCUGUGAAGAUGCGGACUACCUGCACCAGGACAGAAAGACCCUAUGAAGCUUUACUGUAACUUGAAAUUGAAAUUGGACUUUAUUCGCGCAGUAUAGGUGGGAGGCGUUGAUUAUAAUCUUGUGGGAUUAUUGGAGCCAUCAGUGAGAUACCACUCUUGUAAUGUUAGAUUUCUAACUUUGAAUCAUUAUCUGGUCAAAGAACAGUUUCAGGCGGGCAGUUUGACUGGGGCGGUCGCCUCCUAAACGGUAACGGAGGCGUACAAAGGUUUCCUCUGAACGGUUAGAAAUCGUAUCUAGAGUGUAAAGGCAUAAGGAAGCUUGACUGUGAGACCUACAAGUCGAGCAGGGACGAAAGUCGGUCUUAGUGAUCUGACGGUACUGAGUGGAAAGGCCGACACUCAACGGAUAAAAGUUACUCUAGGAUAACAGGCUGAUCUCCCCCAAGAGUUCACAUCGACGGGGAGGUUUGGCACCUCGAUGUCGGCUCAUCGCAUCCUGGGGCGGUAGUACGUCCCAAGGGUUGGGCUGUUCGCCCAUGAAAGCGGUACGCGAGCUGGGUUCAGAACGUCGUGAGACAGUUCGGUCCAUAUCCGGUGUAGGCGUUAGAAUAUUGAGAGGAGCCUUCUUUAGUACGAGAGGACCGAGAAGGACAUACCUCUGGUGUACCAGUUAUCGUGCCAACGGUAAACGCUGGGUAGCUAUGUAUGGAGUGGAUAACCGCUGAAAGCAUCUAAGUGGGAAGCCCACCUCAAGAUAAGUAUUCUCA